CUGGGCGCUGAUCAACGUGUGGUCAGAGUACGCUGUCCUCCAUGACUUCGCCUGGGUCGUCAGGAACGUCAACUUCUACCAGGAAAUAUCACAGAGACUGGAGCAGGUGGGCACUGAGCAGACUCAGGCCCAGUGCCAGGAAUGCAUCAAGCACCUUAGGUUCCUGUACAGGAGGGCAAAGGAAUCAAACAGUCACUCUGGGAGGGUGCAUUGCACAUGCUCAUUUGAUGACAAGCUGGAGCAGGUGUUCUCAACGGUUCCCAGUACAGAGCCUGAAAUGGCUCGUGACCCCCUCCUCAACCCUGCCGGCCUCAUUGUCCGUCAGGAUGGCAAUGAGGGCCAGGCUGAGGAGGCAGCAGGGACCAUGGAGGAUGCCCCGGAAGAUCCAGAGGAUGAUGAACAUGUGAUUCUGCACUACUAUCUGGGAACACCAGUUGAAGAAGACUCCUCUUUCCCCCACACAACGAACCUGAGGAGGAACCCGAGUCACAGCAAGAACCAGAACCAAGCUAACUUUCAGCUCUCAAGAGAGAAAACAUUCCACCAGGAGGGCAGGAGUAGCAUCCCAGAGACAGCAGAAGCUGGUGGAGAAGGACCCUGGAAGAGCUGCUCAUAGGGAUGGACAGGAGGAACCAGGAGCAAUUUGAGUUCCUCAAGGCACAGAAGGAGCUGACUCUUCAGCAGGAAGAGAAACUGAUGAAUUGGUUCAUGGAGCUGGAAGCACACCUCAGGGUACAGGAGCAUGCCGUAAUGGAGAGGGUGCUGCAAAGGGGGACGAUCCAAUACUCCAAGUGACCAUGAGGAGCCUUCAGGAUUCCUGGGACCACAUCCUCCACAGACACCCAAAACCCCUCACAGGGGAACAUCCAUGAACAUCCGGGAAGGGAAUGAUGAUCCUGGGGGAAUCCCUGAAGCCCACCAAGUGUCUGCCUCCCAAACCCCACACAGGAAACAUCCGUGUUUGUCCCCAAGAACAAUUUCACCCCAUCAUUCCCCCCUUUGUUGGGAGGAAGGGAGAGCAAGGGGAUGGGUUCAGAGACAUUAACAUUUGGCCAUUAUUCAUAGAUUCAGUCCAAUUAUGUUC